rnacentral:rRNA from 1 species
AUGUGCAGCAGCGAGUGUGGCCUAAUUGGACUCUGCAGUUUUAUUAGCGUCCCAGAUCCAUCCAUGAUCCACCCCCUGCUUAACCUUGACAUUUCUGCCUCCAUUAAGAUAGCAGGGCAGGUCGUGGAGGGUUCGAUCAGUAAGAAACUCCGCUUCUGCAGUGAAGUUAUUGCUUGGGAUUGGCGCCCGAUCGAGGGAUGGAGAACACUCCCAUGUCAGCGAUUGACCACGUUAAAGCCGGCCAACUUGGAGAGAUAUAUAAAACGAGGGCCGGCAUCUUUCCGCCAAGUUGAAGGAUCAACUUCAAUCAGCCCGCCGCACUGCACAUGUUUCCUUCACCCUCCGCGCCAUGUUCGUGCUGGUAGGAGGAACAUGAAUGAUCCAUAUACAAAUGCGGCACAUUUCCUGGCAGGGAAGAGAACAGGGCUGCGAAGGUUCUUCUCCCUGCUCUGCUCUGACAGAUCCAUGAUGGGCAAGAAAGAAAGAAGGGAAUCUCGCAAGUUGUCAGACCAGCAGUGCUCCUCCAUAUUUGGAUGCUAG